AUUAGAUGGACAAAAUUCAAUCCUUCUCAUUUGUGAUGAAGAGUCCAGAUUGCUCUGCCUCUUGUUUCUCUUUGACUUUCUUCUUUACAACUCUUCUUUCUAAUUUCUUCUUUCCAUCGAGGUGAAUGGUUUUAAGCCAAUAUCCCCCCUCAAGUUGGAGGGUAAAGAAAUGACCCCCAACUUGUUCAACAAAUGGAGAUGGGGAACCCCAGACAGUGGUUUGGUAAACAAAUCAGCCAGUUGAUGCUUCGAUGGAACGAAGGGAAGUGUAAUUAGACCAGCGACAACUGUUGUCUCACAAAGUGACAAUCCAGCUUAACAUGUUUCGUCCUUUCGUGAAAGACUGGAUUUUUGGCUAUGCUAAUGGCAGCUUCACUAUCGGAGUUCACUGUGAUAGGGAGGAAUGGAGGAACAGAGAGAUCAGCAAGGACACGUACCAACCAAGUAAUUUCAGCAGUCACAUGGCGCAUAUAAUGAUACUCUGCUUCAGCGGAUUAAAGGGAGAUAGAAGCUUGUUUAUUGGAUUUCCAAGAAAUGCGAGCACCACCAAAAGUGAUGAAGCAACCACUGACAGAUCUUCGAGUUUUACGACAAGAGGCCCAAUCGGCGUCGUAGAAAGCUAAUAGAGUAAAUGUGGGAUAUGAGGAGAGAAAAAUUCCUUGACUUGGAUCAUUUCGUAGGUAUGUCAAGACUCGAAGAGCAACAAGAUAAUGUGAUUCAGAGGGAUGUUGCAUAUGUUGACUGAAUGUCAAUACAACAAAAGACAAAUCAUGCCUAGUGUGCGUUAAAUAGUUGAUCUUCCCAACUAAAUGUCGAUAAAGUGUUGGAUUAGCCAUGGAGGGAUUGUCAUCGACAUGAAUUUUGGAAUAUAGAUCAAGCGGUGAAGAUACAACAGCGCCAAAACAAUCAAAUUCAGCAAGUAACUCUAAGGUAAACUUGCGUUGAUUGAUGAUAAAUCCCUGUUUUUCUCAGAGGAUUUCCAAUCCUAAAAAAUAGUGAAUGUCUUUGAGAUGCUUGACUCUGAAUUCUGUAUGAAGAAACUGCAUGAUGUGAUGAAUUUCUGAGAUGUCCUCUCCUGUAAUUAGGAUGUCAUCAAUAUAUACAAUGAUGAUAGAGUGAGAGAACCAGAUGUCUCAAAGAAUAGUGGGUAGUCGUUCAUAGAACUAGUAUACCCUUUGAAAGCAAGAGCUCCAGCUAACUUAGAAUACCAUUGUCUAGAUGCCUGUCGCAACCCAUAUAAAGACUUUCCGAGAAGACAAACGUCGUUGGGCAUGAUGGAGGGUAGACCUGCAUGACACUUCAUGUAUACUUCUUCCUGUAAUUCACCAUGAAGAAACGCGUUGCUAACAUCCAAUUGAUGCACCUGUCAUGCUUUCUUGAUAGCCAGUGUGAGUAGACACCUGAUAGUUGUCAUUUUGAUUACCGGAGAGAAUGUUUCUGAAAAAUCAACACCUUCAUGUUGAACACCCACCCUCACUACCAAUAGAGCUUUCAAUCUCUCACUGACCUGUGUUUUACCUUGUAAACCCAUUUACAAGGCAAAGUUGUCUUUCCUGGUGGUAACUGUAGGAUAUUCAAUGCAAGAGCCUUUAAUUCAGCAUCCAUUGUUGCUUUCCAGCCAGUAUGUUUAGAAGCAUGUGCAUAACUCUUUGGCUUAACUACAUCGGAAAUAGAAUGAAACAUAUGCUGAUUCGAAAGAGAUAAAGAGUUAAAAGAGAAAGUAGUGGGCUGGAUAGGGUGGACAAAACAUGCAUUGGUAACAUCAGUCAGUUGGAUGUUAUUGCAACAAUAAUCUUCUAGAUAACUAGGUUUAUGUCGCAUUCUUUGAGUUCUCCCUUGAUUGAUGUGGGGAGAAGAUGAAGAAGAGAGGGAAGAAAGGGCUCGACUGCUGACACUGGAAUGAUAGGAGAGGGUGUCUCAAUAUCUGGGGAUGUAAUAUCAGGAUGUGCAUGAGCUUCUGGAGAGGAUGAAGGAUAAGAGACAGAUUCUGAGAUAUCCAUAGUAGAAUUAUGAGAUGGAAAAUUGGGAGGAAGAGAGUGAUAAGAUUUGUCAGAGGCAAAAGGAAAUUGCUGCUCAUGAAAUUGAACAUCCCUUGAAACAAAAACUUUCUUAGUGUUGAGAUCUAACAACUUUUAACCCUUUUUACCUUGUGGAUAACCUAGGAAGACACAAGCUGUUGCCCUUGGUUCAAACUUUCCUCUCUAUUGAGAUUGAGUUGAAGCACAGCAUAGACAUCCAAAGCUCCUCAAAAAUUGAUAGUUAGGUUGCUUAUCAAAAAGAAUUUCAUAUGGUGUUCUUCCAUGUAGUACCUUGGAUGACAACCUAUUAAUCAAAUAUGUAGAUGUUAAUAUGCAAUCUCACCAAUAAUCAAUAGGUAAGUGAGAUUUAAACAUCAGUCCCCUUCGUAAUUCCAAUAGAUGUCUAUGCUUCCUUUCCACAACACCGUUUUGUUGUGGAGUUCCAACACAUGAAGUUUGAUGCAAAAUUCCUUGAGAUUUAAGAAAAGCUGUCUUCUGAAUACUUGUUCCCAAUUGCAGUGCAUUGUCAGAACUAAUGAACUUGACUUGGGCAUGGAAUUGUCUCUCUAUUAUAGCUAGAAACUUGAUAGAAUAUGAGCCUUCACUUAAUAAGUAAUGGACCAGGUCCCUUACUUCACUUCAGAAAAAUACCAAAAAGUUAAAUGCAGUAAAAUCAACACAAUGAUUUUACGUGGAAACCUCCUUGCUUAAGGGAGUAAAACCACGACCUGUCUCACAGGAUUUUCAAUCGUUUCACUAAUCUUCAAAAGCAAAAGCGAAACACGAUUACACCAAACGUAAGAAAGAGUUAUCAAUCUUACCGUUAAGCAAUAGUCCUCUAUUGCUCAACAAGCCUAAGUAGAAAAACAAUCUACCCACUAAGCUAUCACACCUGGACAACCUAGACUUCUAACACAACACACCAAUUCCUUUAUAGAUUUAGGAGUGAUUUACAAUUUAAGAACAAGAGAAUAAAUUCCUAAACAACUAGACGAAAAGCUCCAAAUGUUGCUGUUGUCCUUGGAAUAAUUCUGCCUUUGCUUUAUGUAGCCUUUGCAAGAGUUCUUGAAAAGUUUUUAUCAAGUUGCAAAAACUACACACAAAUGUUUAGGAAAGUGCCUUUUAUAUGGGCAAGUCACUUUCCUAAACUUCUUUGCCAUUGGCUGGAAAGGUCACACUUUUUUGACGCCAUCGAGAAGUGUGCACCUACUUUCUGUACCGUCUCCAGCUGGCAGUCGACUGGCUCAUCAUCAUGAGAGUCUGGUACCUCUACUAGGUCCCUGGGUUUGUUUCAUCUGCAAUACUUCAAACAAGACACCUGCAAUACUCAAGUAGAAAACCUGGUACCUUUAUGAGGUCCCUAAGUUUGUCAAAUCAUCAAAACUACAAAUAACAAAACUCCUUAAGAGUAGGGAGAACAUUGCUAUUAGAGCUUAACAAGAAAGUCCAAGUACCUCUACUAUAAUCAUCAACUAUGGUAAGAAAGUAUCUAAAACCAUUAUAAGUAGGUGGUUUGUACGGUCCCCAAGUAUCAAUGUGAAUCAAUUCAAAAGGCUUUGUAGAAUGAAUAACACUUAUUGGAAAAGUGAGUCUAGUCUGCCUAGCUUUAGGACAAAUAUCACAAACAUGUUCAGAUUUAGAAAGGAAAUUAAUGAAACUGAAUUUUCUCAUUGUGGAAUUGAAACUACAUUAGCAUUAGAAACAAACUGAUACCUAAUAGUAGAAGACUUCAACAGGUACAAUCCCUCAUUUACUUCACCAAAAGCUUUAAUGCUCCUCCUUAAAAGAACCUGUUACACGCAACCACUAAGAGUAAGUAACACAUUAUAUUUAAUUUUACUUGACAACCUGUGCACAGAUAUCAGAUUAUGCUUGAAGGUAGGGACAUAUAGGACAUUUUUCAGAGUCAAAUUUGGAAGAAUAGAGACACUUCCUUUAUGAGUCACAGUGAUCCUGAAAGAAUUAGGCAAAGUGAGAGCUAAAGACACAGGAAGGGGAGUGAGCAACAGAAAAGAAUUGGAGUCAAAACAGAUAUGUUUAGAAGCACCGGAAUUAAUAAUCCCUGUACAGGAAUUAAUAACUGAUAAACAUGAGCUUGAGUUCCUCAAUGGUACCAGCAAUGGCAUUUCCACUAAAACCAGUCGUUGGUGCUGUCCUAUGUUUCUUCAGGAAAUCUUUUGUAACCUGUUGCACCAGAUUUGUGUAUUGUUCUUUGCUCAUGUACUGGCUGUAAUUGUUGUAGGUUGUAUCCUCUUGUGUGUUUUGAUAAGCUUUAGAUUUUUCUUCUGUUGCAACUGUAUUUGCCUUCACUGUUCCUUGAUUUUCCCUUGUCUUAGUGAACUCAAAAUAAUUGAGGUAUCCAAUAAUCCUGUAGCAGUUAUCAUGUACAUGUUUUGUUUUUCCACAGUAAGUAUGUAACAUUAGGAUUGUACUUAAACUUCCUUGACCUGAAUCUUUGGACUGGUUUUCCAUUCCUUUGUUCCCCACUCUCAUCAUUUGGUUACCAUUUCUGUGAUUCCACUUGCCUUGUGUUGUUGCCAUAAAAGCUGCUGAGUUGGUUAAGGGGUCUGCAUUAACAUAAAACUCUCGUUGGUUCAUCUUGCAACAAAACAUCAAUGCUUGACAAAGGGCUCAUCAUCAGGAUGUUCCCUCUUGCCUGAGCAUAACAGAAACUGCAUUAAUUUCUGAUGUUACAGUGAUUUAACCAGAUUUCCCUUACCCUCACAUACACAGACAUAAGAACAAGAUAUAAUGACACUAAGGGAAUCCAGUUCAUUCCACAACCUCUUAAGUUUAGUAAAGUAAUUUGCUAUAUCACUCAUACCUUAUGCUCCGUUGCAUCUUCCGAAUCUUCUUUCCAGGCUAUCCCAGAUCUCCUUGGCAGUCUUGGAUUAGAUUACACUGUCUCCAAUUUCCCGGAAAGUGAAUUCAACAACCAUGAUAUCACCAAUAUCGUUGCAACAAAUCCAUUGGCCAUACUAUACAAUAUCAACACUGCCCUACUC
rnacentral:lncRNA from 1 species